AUAAGAUGUCUAGUCUUUCCACACUUGAAGCAUUUCUUCUCAAAACUCAUAUAGUCAUUGGCCCGAUGACCUGUUACCCCACACUUAAAGUACUUGAUUAAAGCGAGAGUCUCUCCCCCAUUUGGAAUUUUAUCAUCUAAAUCUUUAUGCUUCCCUUUAUCAGUUGUAUCAUUGUAUGGUUUUCCAUAAAACUGAUUAUUCCUUUUCUUCUUGUUAAGACUCUUGUAAUGAGUAGAACGAGCUCUACAAUCCUCAUCAUAUAUCUUGCAUUUAUUCACCGACAUAGGAAAAUGGAGAAUCUUUUGAUAGCCAAUAUCUUGCUUGAUCUCGGGACGCAAUUUUCUUUCGAACUUGAUACAUUUUGACCCCUCAGCAGCCAUACCAUUGUAGUAUGGACAAAACUUCACCAGCUCUUCGAACUUAGCAGCAUGCUUAGCAAUUGUCAUAUUUCCCUCCUUUAGCUCAAGGAACCCAAUCUCCUUCUUACUAUACACGUCCUCUAAAAAAUACUUCUCCAAAAAUUUAGCCCUGAGCACAGCCUAAGUAGUCUCAAUACAACAACCUCUAGUCUCUAACGUGCAUUAUCCCACCAGUCUUCGGCCUCUUCAGACAACUUGUGUGCACCGAACUUCACCUUCUGAACUUUAGUGCAAUCCAUCACUCGAAAAAUACCUCAAUCUCUCUGAGCCAUAUUUGUGCACCCUCUGGAUCAUAUCUUCCCUUGAAGGUCGGAAGAUUGUUUCUCUGAAUCUUCUAUAAUCCACGAAACUCAUCACCAACCUGAUUUUGGUGACCUUGCAGCGCCCGAGCCAUUGCUUUCGAAGCAUCAACAAUCGCUCGGUCGUUUCUUCCUCCUGCCAUAUUCUGAAUACCAGUAAACAGACAUUAGAAGAAAUAUUGCAUCGACAACGUUCACACACUCGUCACAUACUAAGGAACAUAUAUAACAUUACAAAAACCUGGUUGGAUGGAAUGACAUGCUUUGAUACCACUAAUUGUAACACCAUAAACCCCAAAACUUAUGUAAAAAUAAUUACUCGACAAUUUAAGGUUUCGCCAACGACAUCCCUUCAAAACUCAUCAAAAACAUGUGACAACACGCAACGAAAAAUAAUUUCAUAACAACUUCAUAAAUAAAGUAUUGAAAUUUAAAACACCAAAUUCAACAUUAAAUCAAAAAUAUAACAAACGCCUUGUUCCCGAUAUUACAAUAUCAGAGCACUAAAAACCACUAAUAUACGAUAAAGCGGUAAAUAAAACAAAGUAUAGCUCCAAAAAUACACCUUCCACACAUAACAACAACUUUAAUACUGAGUAUCUGCAAGAUGUCUACGGUGGAUAACAUUAAGCAAAAGGGUGAGAAACAAAUUCAAUAUGAAUGGUGUAAAGAAUGCGAAGGUAGAGAAAUACACAACUUAUCAUACAUCCAAUACAUAAUCAACAAAUCAUAAUCACACAUCCAUUCACAAUAAUAUGCACAUAUAUAUGUAAUGCGACUUACGAUACAAUGUGACACUUAUGCAUGUGGUACCAUCUCAACAUUUGGUUCUCUUUGGAAUCGGGUCCCUCCUUAUGAACCCAUGAGCCCCCAUUUUGAGCUUGGGACAAGCCACUAGUCCCCCCUUCUAAACUAGUUAAUAUGUAUCUUUCAACGACAUGGCACAAUGAUGCAUGUCCAUACAAAUCAAUGCAACAACAAUAAUAACACUUACGGCCUCUUCUAACCAUAAACAACAUGCAUUGACACACAAUAGUAAUCCCUUUUCUGAAUUACUAUCCAUCAAUAACACCAACAAUACAUAAUUAAUCACCAUAUAGUCAUGCAUUUUAUAACAAUAUGAAUCAUAUCCACAUCAUAUAACAACACAAAACAGCAUCAUACGCAUCUCAUACCAUUGCUACAUAUAAACAACAACAGGUAAGUAAGGAAAUUACCAAUGAACAACAAUAAUUCCACCAUAAUUAAUUAAAUUCAUGACAAUUAAUUAACUACUGACACCAAAAUGUUCAAAUAGUAGUCAUACAUCACCCAAACAACAAUAACACCUCAAAAGUCUGAACUGACAACUCAGACCAUGCAACAGGAACGACAAUGCCCCUUCUGACAACAUGACGGGUGAUCCGGCAUCCUGGUGACGCUCGUCACAUGCUUACAACUCCCAUGCCGUCAUCAUAGUGAAAAUCGUCUUGGAAAACCAAGCCUGGAGACCAUGACGAUCUCCCUGUCAUAGAGCUGACGCCCGUCAGCAUCUCAAGGUGCAUGAUGGGUAACUCGUCAUCUGGGUGACGCCCGUCACCCUGCACCAGAAGGAAAAAACACUAAUUCUUCCAUGAGAGUUACCUUGAACUUUGAUUUAUGAUCCCUAAUCAUUCCCACACGCCCAAAAAAUGAUAAUGCAUGUAAUAACAUCAUUAUAACAUACCAAAUCAUUGAAUUACACAAAUUAUUCAUGAACUUCAACACAUUCAUGUUUAUGUUCAAACCUUCAACAACCCCAACAAUGACAUACAAACAUAUACACAUAAACAUAAUCAUAUAUACACAAAUCAAAUCACGAAAUUUAGAUGAACACACCUUUAAUUAUCAAUUUCCAGAACCACAUAUAACAACAACAAUUCAUAAGCAUUUCACAUAAUUCCUAAAGAGAGUAAGAGUAUCUCUUCUCUAUCUUUUCAUGCAAUACAUGCAUAUAGAAGCCCCCUCCCCCCCUUUAUGUUAGGUUCCUUGCAAAAAUCUGAAUUGGUGAUGGUGUGUUCUUCCCUUUCCAAGCCCUAGUCUCAUUUGCUCUUCCAAACUCUAUUUAACGUACUGACAACCCUUAGGUCUCUAAUCCGUUUUUAUCUAAUUUAAUCUUUAGGUAAUUAUACUAAGACCCAAUUCUUUUUAAAAUUUUCACUAUUUCCCUUUUGUUCCUAUUUUCCACCCAUAAACUUAUAUUUCUAUUUAUUUUAAUUAAUUAAUAAAAACAAUUAUUCAUUCUAAUUAUUUAUAAUUAUUCUAAUUCUCCUAAUCCUUCUAUCACCCCAUCAAUGCUCUCACCACACCCUACCACAUAUACAUACCACUCAAUAUAUUUAAUUAAAAAUAUAUCACAUACUAAAUAAUUAAAUAAAAAUACGAAUAAUCUGACUAAAUCAAUUAAUCAAAUCUAGGGGUGUUACAUAGUUGAAGAAGAAGAAGAAGAUGAAAGUGAUACACAGUCUGAUUAUCUGUUGAACACCAACAGUGAAGAUGGUAAUCAUCAAGCGCCAUUACCUCCAAGUCACGUAUAUUGUCUACCACAAUAUAUGACAAACUUGAACUUGAAUGGUGAUGAGUCAUCCUCUAAUAUUUUUUACAAUCCAUAUAUGCGGUUAGAGGGUGAGUUAAAAGUGGGAGACAGGUUCCACACUAAAGAAGAGUGAAUGUGAGCUAUCAAAAAAUUUCACAUGGAGAACUCUGUUGAUUAUACCGUAGAUCACACUAAUGCAAGAAGAUAUGUCAUUCUUUGUCGUAAUGUGCUUUGCAUGUUUCGACUAGCACCGUCUUACAGGAAGAUAAUUGAUUCAUGGGAGAUAAGUUAUAUACAUUUAUCUCACAAUUGAACCGCCACUAUUAUUGCACAUGAUCACCAUAAAUUAAACUCUAAAAUAAUAUGUCAAGACAUUUUGUCUUUUGUUAGCAAGGAGCCAUCAAUGAAGGUAAGUAUACUAAUCUUUCAUAUUGUUACAUGAUAUAAUUAUAAUCCCUCAUACAAGAAAGUGUGGAUUGCAAGAAAAAAUGCUAUUGAACGAGUAUACGAAAAUUAGAAGGAUUCGUACAAAAAAAAAUCCACAAUAAUUGGUGACACUUAAGACAUAUACUCUGGGAACUGUUACAAUUUUGAAGACACGGUCGGCAUAUACGCCGUACAGAACUUGUGUCAGUGGAAAUAUAAUAUUUCAUCGAUUCUUUUUAGGCAUUUCAACCAUGCAUCAAAGAUUUUGCGUUUUGCAAACUUAUUCCUAAAAUUGAUGGAACAUGGUUGUACGGGAAAUACAAGGGCACAUUACUUAUGACAGGGGCACAAGACGACAACAAUAAUAUAUUUCCCAUUGCCUUCGCUCUGAUUGAAGGUGAGACUUUGAGUGGUUAGAGUUUCUUUCUCAAGAAUCUCAUAACAUAUGUUGCUCCACAAUCCAACCUCUGUUUGAUUUCAGACAGACAUGCAUCUAUUGAGAGUGUGUAUAAUAAUCCUGAGAAUGGAUGACAAAAUCCUCCUUCUAGCCAUGUCUACUGCAUUAGACAUAUUGCACAAAACUUCAUGCGAGAAAUCAGAGACAAGAACCUUUGGAAAAAAUGUUGUGAUUGUAGUGUACUCCCUCCGUCCCAUAUUAUAAGCAAAUUUCACCUUUCUAGAUUCAUUAAAUAAUUAAUGUAUCUGGUUUAUUAUAUAGAUCAGAUACAUUAAUUAUUUAAUGAAUCUAAAAAGGUGAAAUUUACAAAUUUCACCUUUCUAGAUUCAUUAAAUAAUUAAUGUAUCUGGUUUAUUAUAUAGAUCAGAUACAUUAAUUAUUUAAUGAAUCUAAAAAGGUGAAAUUUGCUUAUAAUAUGGGACGGAGGGAGUAUGCUUUAAUUCAGCCAUCAUUCCGACACUAUCGUAGGGAAAUUAGAUUGUCAAAUGCGGAUGCAUUAAUGUGUGUGGAUAACAUUCCAUUGGAGAAGUGGAUAAUGGAAUUUGACGAAGGACGCCGAUGGGGCCACAUGACAAUAAACCUUGUUCAGUCCAUGAACAACUUCUUCAAAGACAUUAGAAACCUAUCAAUAAUCGCGUUGGUGAGAGCAAUAUAUUUUAGGUUGGGAUCACUUUUUACAUCCAUAGGCAAAAAAUGGAGUUCGGUGUUACGGUUGAGACAAUUAUUCAGUAAAAGUUGCAUGAAAGUGAUGAAGGGGGAAACUAUCAAAGCUAGCACACAUGGGGUUACAAUCUUUGACCGUCGUAGACACAGUUUUAGUGUAAAAGAAAUAAUGGACCACAAUGAGGGGAGGCCGAAUGAAGACUAUCAGAUCGAACUAAAUAGAGGUUGGUGCGAUUGUGGCAAGUUUCAAGCCUUAUGUAUGUCUUGCUCCGAUGUCAUUGCGACAUAUUCAUAUGCUCGCCAUAACACUUCCAAGCAUGUAUCUGCCGUUUACAAAGUCGCAAAUGUAUUCAAUGUAUACAACAAUAACUUCCCGAUGAUAGUAAAAGGGGACUAUUUACCUACAUAUCAAGGGAACAUAAUUUGAUGCGAUAAAAAUAUGCGACAGAAGAAAAAAUAUCGCUCCAACAGCACAUAUAUUAAAACAAAAAUUGAUAUAACUAAUAAAAUGGUAAUAUUAAAAUAAAUUUGCAUGAUAAUUUUUUUUCUUUAAAUUUUUAUAACCUUAUUAUUUUAUAUAUAUAUAUAUAUAUAUAUAUAUUAAUUUUUGGUUACAACAAAAAUAACAUAAACACUCUAUCAAUAAUUAAGUUAAGAAAGCAUAAAAUUAAUUAAGCUUAAUCUUUAGUAUAUUUAAUAAUCCAAUAAAGAAAAUUUAAAAACACAUUGAAAUAUCAACACCGUUUGAUUUCCAUCAAACAAAAGCACUUGAAAUCUCAACUCCAUGAGACACACAAUUUCACAAAAUCUCAAAUCUCUUAUCCAACCCAAGUGAGAUAACAAAACACAAAGUAUCAUAAAUCACCACCAAUAACAACAAUCCAUCUCAGCAUCUUUACUUCUCUCACCUUAUCCAAAAUCCAUUUUCCCACCACCAAUUUCUCUCCACACAGAAUCUAAAAACCUUCUCUUCUUCUCUUUCCAAUAUCAUCACACAAAUCAAAUCCAUCACACACAAACACCAUUCUUUUUUCCUCACAAAAAAAUGUCUCUCACCAUUCCAACUAACCUCUCGAAACCCACCUCAACCCUAAGACCCAAACUCACCCAAAAACCAAAACUCUCCACCAUCAUCCACUGCAGCACAAACCAAACCCCAAACAAUCAAACCGACCAUGCAAACUCAAAUCUAAAAGCCUUCUCCGCUGCACUAGCCCUCUCCUCAAUCCUCAUCUCAUCCCCACUCCCGGCCGUCGCCGACAUCUCCGGCUUAACCCCAUGCAAAGAAUCAAAACAGUUCGCCAAACGCGAAAAACAGUCAAUCAAAAAACUCGAGUCCUCC
rnacentral:lncRNA from 1 species